rnacentral:tRNA from 1 species
GUAGCUCAGUGGGUAGAGCAGCAGAAAAACGCAGGUUCGACUCCUGCUAUCA